rfam:Salmo salar isolate Sally breed double haploid chromosome ssa03, whole genome shotgun sequence.
UGGCUCAGUUGGUAGGGCAUGGUGCUUGCGAUGCCAGGGUUGUGGGUUAGAUUCCCAU